CAUGUGUCAACAGGAGCCGAACAGAUCAGAGGAUUUUGUGAACAAAUUAUGCGAUAAAAAGCUGAGGCAGAGGGCGACAGAAGACAGAGGAGCUGAAGCUGUGAAAGGAAAGUAAAAGUCAACCAAAGCAUUUUUUUUUUCCUCAGAGAAAUAGUUGGGCAUCUCAGUGAAUAGACUUUCAUGUUUGGAGUGGGAUGAUUUUGAUGCCACAGCCAACGAGCUGGGGGGGACAACAGGUAGCCUGGAUUCAUUCAGUGGCAUCAUAAUCAGCCAGCCAGAACCUCUGAAACUCACUAAUUAACAUGUUCUUUUUCUUUUUCUAAUCCAUGCAAAAUCAGACAAUAACAACAAACUGUCAGUUUAUGUGCCAGUGCCAGGCUAUUUUCUUGGCUGUGACCAGUGGCCAGGCAACCAUCGGAGACUCCAGCAAGCUACUUGGUAGCCAAGAAUCGUCCCACUGUUACCAACCUUUGUCCCCUUGUUUGCGUCAUGAAGCAGACGUCAAUGAUGAAAUGUAAAAUACAGAAUUCAUUAAGUGAACAACUGAGCAAAUAAGAUUCAAGGGGCAAUGUGGUCAUGGGGGGACUGGAGCUGAUCCCAGCUGACAUUGGACUAGCGGUCGGCAGUUCAUCACCGGGCUGACAUAAAGGGACAAACAACCAGUCACACACACAUUUACACCUACGGACAAUUUAGAGUGACCGAUUAACCUUACUUCGAUGUUUUUGGACUGCAGGAGGAAGCCGGAGUACUCGGACGAGCAGGCGCGGGGGAGAUCAUGCAAGCCUCUGCUCAGAUGGGCCCUGCCCAAGCCGAACCCACAACCUCUACGCCGUGACGCUAACCACUGCUCCGCCAAAACUGGUCACAUGGUUAACAUUAUACCUAGAUACCAGCAUGUCGGCAUCAUCACUGUGUGCAUGUUAGCAGAAUUAGACUCUUUAUUUAUGCACUAACUGGAGAAUUAACCUAAUGCACAUGUCCGGAUCAAAGCCAACACCUUGGUCAGGGGCUCCGACUAUGUGAGCAUCGAGAGUACAUGCAAACCGCACAGAAAGGCCUGACCCCCACAGGAUUUGAGCCCAGAGGCUUCUUGCUGUGAGGUAACAAUGCGCCACCAUGCUCAACAUACCACUCUUACAGCCCUAGAGUGGAUAAAGUGGCUCACUCCGAGUCUUGUUUGGACCCCCAACUGGUCAGUGCCAGUCCAUCUGACCUUGCAUAUCCAGCAGCUGUUAUGUGAACUGGGUUCAGGAAACCAUGUGCCUGCUCAAAAGGGUGAUAGAUUUGUGCUCUUUUUGGCAACGCUAAGGUUUAUAAAAGGGGAUUUGGAUGCAAUCCCUGUUGUUGAAAUUGACUGACAGAUUAAUCUAGCACCAGAAGGUACAUAAUUGCAACUUCUCUUAAUUUUUUAUAGCAGCAACUUACCCCAAACUCCCUCAAGUCAAACGUUUGUUGGCAAUUUGAAUUUCUUAGCUUUGAUAAAGAACACCGUGUGUAAAAAAAAAUAAUA